GAGUCCGAAGGUGAACACCUGGCUUGAGACUUCCACGCGUUGAGAUUACCUGCAGACAACGGUUACCAUCUUACUGACACCGCUCUCCACCUAUAACUCUAGACUCUUCCGUCACUUGCAUGCAAACCAUCCUCAGAAACCACAGAUUACACCCAUUAAUCUCAUCUGCAUACACCCAAAACCAAAUCACCUUUCUUACCCACUUUUGUCAAGAAUGGAGAAACUAACCAUGGCAACGGGUUAGAAGCCACUGAAGUCCCCAUCUCCUUCUGUUGCUAGUGUAGAAGCUUGGGCUUCGGAAUUUAGACUGAGAUCAGUUCACUCCUAAGGUUUGGGAUUGGAAAAGAGUAGAGGAUUGGAGCUGGAGUUGAUCGAAAACUUUUGUCAGUUAAAAGGUGGAUUGUGCAAUAUAUAAAUCGAAGAAGAAGGAUUUUGGGUGAAGGCUCUUUGACUGGGUAUUGAUCGAAUUGAGGUUGGAUGUUGGAGUAGUGAUAGGUAGGGGGAGCUUGCUUCACAAAGGUGUUUCGGGCAGUUACCCGAGGAACGGAAGGUUCGUGACUCUCGAACUGCGUGAAAGAUAAGCAUCAGAAUCCAGGUAGGGGAUUCAGGACUCUCCUCAGUUAGUGAUUUUCUUAUAUUGUUAUUAAAUGAUGCAUGUUCGAUGGUAUGGUUUGGUUAUGUUCAAAUGCAAUGCAUACUAAUCAAACCAUGUGAGAAAUGUGAUGGCUUGAGAGCGAAGGGUGGCUCUGACUUCCUUGGGUUCGAUCCCCAAAACCUCCGGAGGGUUAGUUACACCGGUCGGACGGUGAGCGAUCGCAAUGACGACCCGAUCCGUGUGUGUAGCUAGGUAGCGGACGCUCUCGCUACGCUUACCUGGUGAUAAAUUAAAUUGAGGUAAGGUCGUGUAGUGGGUCUAUGGGACCGGCCAUCAGUGUGGAUGCAGGUACUGUGCACUGGUGACGGGACAAUAGCGGACGGAGCUGGGUGUGUGGAACAAGUUCGGUAAAUUUUGUCGUUUAGACCUUGUUCUAGAUUCUAUUUCUUGAACUUCGUAUUCCGAGACUUGUUGAUAGUUAGCCUUGUGUUAGUUUUGGUUGAGUUCUCAUUUCCUUGAAGUUCGUACCUCGUGUGUGAGAAUUCAUUUCAAGUUCUAGACGAAUGAAAUAAACUUUAGCAACUCAAGGAUUUUCACCUCAAAAAUAUUUGUAGCUUCCGCUGUGUUUAUACGAAAAGUUUUCAAACAAAAUGCCUAGCGGUUCUCUAGAAUGUAAAUCGAGCGUUCGGUUUAUGUUUUAGAGGCUCGCGGCACUGUGACGUGCUUAAGCUGGUGAGGUGCAGCUUGGGGC